rnacentral:rRNA from 1 species
AGUGAACGCUGGCGGUAGGCCUAACACAUGCAAGUCGAACGGCAGCACAGUAAGAGCUUGCUCUUACGGGUGGCGAGUGGCGGACGGGUGAGGAAUACAUCGGAAUCUACUUUUUCGUGGGGGAUAACGUAGGGAAACUUACGCUAAUACCGCAUACGACCUACGGGUGAAAGCAGGGGAUCUUCGGACCUUGCGCGAUUGAAUGAGCCGAUGUCGGAUUAGCUAGUUGGCGGGGUAAAGGCCCACCAAGGCGACGAUCCGUAGCUGGUCUGAGAGGAUGAUCAGCCACACUGGAACUGAGACACGGUCCAGACUCCUACAGGAGGCAACAGUGGGGAAUAUUGGACAAUGGGGGAAAGCCUGAUCCAGCCAUACCGCGUGGGUGAAGAAGGCCUUCGGGUUGGAAAGCCCUUUUGUUGGGAAAGAAAAGCAGCAGGUUAAUACCCCGCUGUUCUGACGGUACCCAAAGAAUAAGCACCGGCUAACUUCGUG